GGUAACAUAGAUUGCUUGCAAUCUGAUGACGAGUGGCGCACGGGUGCGUAACGCGUAUGCAACCUACCUUUAACUGGAGGAUAGCCCGAAGAAAUUCGGAUUAAUACCCCAUAAUAUAUGUCUUUCGCAUGUUAGACAUAUUAAAGCUUCGGCGGUUAAAGAUGGGCAUGCGUGACAUUAGUUUGUUGGUGAGGUAACGGCUCACCAAGACUACGAUGUCUAGGGGGUCUGAGAGGAUUAUCCCCCACACUGGUACUGAGACACGGACCAGACUCCUACGGGAGGCAGCAGUGAGGAAUAUUGGUCAAUGGACGAAAGUCUGAACCAGCCAUGCCGCGUGCAGGAAGAAUGCCCUACGGGUUGUAAACUGCUUUUAUAUAGGAAUAAACCCCCGAACGUGUUCGGGGCUGAAGGUACUAUACGAAUAAGGACCGGCUAACUCCGUGCCAGCAGCCGCGGUAAUACGGAGGGUCCAAGCGUUAUCCGGAUUUAUUGGGUUUAAAGGGUGCGUAGGCGGGACAUUAAGUCAGUGGUGAAAUCUUCCAGCUCAACUGGGAAAUUGCCAUUGAUACUGAUGUUCUUGAGUUUGGUUGAAGUAAGCGGAAUGAGGCAUGUAGCGGUGAAAUGCAUAGAUAUGCCUCAGAACACCGAUCGCGAAGGCAGCUUACUAAGCCAAUACUGACGCUGAGGCACGAAAGCGUGGGGAGCAAACAGGAUUAGAUACCCUGGUAGUCCACGCCGUAAACGAUGAUUACUCGCUGUUGGCGAUACACUGUCAGCGGCUAAGCGAAAGUGAUAAGUAAUCCACCUGGGGAGUACGUUCGCAAGAAUGAAACUCAAAGGAAUUGACGGGGGCCCGCACAAGCGGUGGAGCAUGUGGUUUAAUUCGAUGAUACGCGAGGAACCUUACCAGGGCUUAAAUGUAGAACGACCGAUCUGGAAACAGAUCUUCUCUUUGAGCGGUCUACAAGGUGCUGCAUGGUUGUCGUCAGCUCGUGCCGUGAGGUGUCGGGUUAAGUCCCUUAACGAGCGCAACCC
rnacentral:rRNA from 1 species